GUGGGUAGUUUGACUGGGGCGGUCUCCUCCCAAAGCGUAACGGAGGAGCACGAAGGUUAGCUAAUCCUGGUCGGACAUCAGGAGGUUAGUGCAAUGGCAUAAGCUAGCUUGACUGCGAGCGUGACGGCGCGAGCAGGUGCGAAAGCAGGUCAUAGUGAUCCGGUGGUUCUGAAUGGAAGGGCCAUCGCUCAACGGAUAAAAGGUACUCCGGGGAUAACAGGCUGAUACCGCCCAAGAGUUCAUAUCGACGGCGGUGUUUGGCACCUCGAUGUCGGCUCAUCACAUCCUGGGGCUGAAGUAGGUCCCAAGGGUAUGGCUGUUCGCCAUUUAAAGUGGUACGCGAGCUGGGUUUAGAACGUCGUGAGACAGUUCGGUCCCUAUCUGCCGUGGGCGCUGGAGAAUUGAGGGGGGCUGCUCCUAGUACGAGAGGACCGGAGUGGACGCAUCACUGGUGUUCGGGUUGUCAUGCCAAUGGCACUGCCCGGUAGCUAAAUGCGGAAGAGAUAAGUGCUGAAAGCAUCUAAGCACGAAACUUG
rnacentral:rRNA from 1 species